UCGAGCGGAAGCGUUACGAAGGAAGUUUUCGGAUGGAAUUGGUAACGGUUUAGCGGCGGACGGGUGAGUAACACGUGGGCAACCUGCCUUAUACUGGGGGAUAACAGUUAGAAAUGACUGCUAAUACCGCAUAAGCGCCCAUCCCCGCAUGGGGAAGAGCGAAAAACUCCGGUGGUAUAAGAUGGGCCCGCGCCUGAUUAGGUAGUUGGUGGGGUAACGGCCUACCAAGCCGACGAUCAGUAGCCGACCUGAGAGGGUGGCCGGCCACAUUGGGACUGAGACACGGCCCAAACUCCUACGGGAGGCAGCAGUGGGGAAUAUCGCACAAUGGGGGAAACCCUGAUGGGGGGGGGGGGAAAAAAAAAAGAAGUAUUUCGCUCCCUCCAGCUCUAUCAGCAGGGAAGAAAAAAGACGGUACCUGACUAAGAAGCCCCGGCUAACUACGUGCCAGCAGCCGCGGUAAUACGUAGGGGGCAAGCGUUAUCCGGAUUUACUGGGUGUAAAGGGAGCGUAGACGGUGCGUCAAGUCUGAAGUGAAAGCCCGGGGCUUAACCCCGGGACUGCUUUGGAAACUGGCGCGCUAGAGUGCUGGAGAGGUAAGUGGAAUUCCUAGUGUAGCGGUGA
rnacentral:rRNA from 1 species